rnacentral:rRNA from 1 species
GACGAACGCUGGCGGCGUGCUUAACACAUGCAAGUCGAGCGGUAAGGCCCUUCGGGGUACACGAGCGGCGAACGGGUGAGUAACACGUGAGUAAUCUGCCCAUCACUUCGGGAUAACUCCGGGAAACCGGUGCUAAUACCGAAUAUGACCACUUCAGGCAUCUGAUGGUGGUGGAAAGUUCCGGCGGUGAUGGAUGAGCUCGCGGCCUAUCAGCUUGUUGGUGGGGUAGUGGCCUACCAAGGCUUCGACGGGUAGCCGGCCUGAGAGGGUGACCGGCCACACUGGGACUGAGGCACGGCCCAGACUCCUACGGGAGGCAGCAGUGGGGAAUAUUGGACAAUGGGCGAAAGCCUGAUCCAGCAACGCCGCGUGAGGGAUGUCGGCCUUCGGGUUGUAAACCUCUUUCAGCAGGGACGAAGCGCAAGUGACGGUACCUGCAGAAGAAGCACCGGCCAACUACGUG